GCAAGCUAGAUGUUUGCUCAUGGUGUCUUUUUAAUUGUGGUUAGGGCUUAUUGGGAGAGUUGAAAUUAAGACUCUUAAUCUUUCAUAAGACUGGAUCUUGAUGUGAUUCUUCAGCCCUGAUCCUCAGCAUGUUUUAUUGUGUCUGCUUCACUGUGUAUGGACUGGAAAUAAAAUCAGUGAGUACAACAGAGAGCACUUUGAUGUUUGAGUAAUCCACCUCUAAGCAAUCUGUUUUUGAGUAAGCUACACAGAGCUACAGUGAUAUAGUGCAGCUUCCAAGGUUAUGGAACUGGUAUUACAACAGAAUUGUACUUUGGGACAUUUGACACUCCAAUUCCUAAUUUUGAGCUUCAAUAUCUACCUCACAGAAGUUUUGGAGCAACAACAGCUGGAGACUUUUUUUUUUUUUUGCUUUAAAGAACAUAGAAUAACCAAGAAGAAUCCAGCCUGACAUGUGCAUGAAAUGCUGCUGUGCUCUGUCAUGCUGUCACCAAGCCAACACCAGAAUGUCUGCCACAGCAUCUCAUGCCCUGCUGCUUCCCCUUCUUGCCAAAAUUAGACUUGCAUUAAUGACAGCAUCUGGGACAAACCAUACUGCAUCUUAGAUCUAUGCCUUGCCACCACCUGGAAUAAGUGCUGUAGAUUAAAGCCAGGAACUGGGGAAGAUUUGACUUUGUGACCGGUAGGGAACACAGGAUUUCUGUUGAUCUGCUUUGUGCAUUUCACAUCAGAUCCACCUGAGAGGACCACACGUAUAACUAAACUAGCUAAUGAUGUGACUUUUUAUAAAUUAUUCAACAGCAGUUAGCUCUCAAGCUUAAUGUGGGCAGGUGACUUCAUAGUCCCUAUUCCAAACUCAUUGUUACUGUGCUACUCCUUCCAUAUUCCCAUCCAGCUUCCACUCUGGUUGUGACUUUUUUUUUUUCCCCUCCCUUUUAAAUACAUUUUUGCUUUCUUGAUGUUAAUAUUUGAUUGCUGUAACCAGAGGAUUCUGCAUAAUGAAUUGCAAAGGUGUAGUUUGCCAGCAGUG